rnacentral:rRNA from 1 species
CCUACGGGUGGCAGCAGUGAGGAAUAUUGGUCAAUGGGCGCGAGCCUGAACCAGCCAAGUCGCGUGAAGGAUGACUGCUCUAUGGAUUGUAAACUUCUUUUAUAAAGGAAUAAAGUGCGGCACGUGUGCCUUUUUGUAUGUACUUUAUGAAUAAGGAUCGGCUAACUCCGUGCCAGCAGCCGCGGUAAUACGGAGGAUCCGAGCGUUAUCCGGAUUUAUUGGGUUUAAAGGGUGCGUAGGUGGGCUGUUAAGUCAGUUGUGAAAGUUUGCGGCUCAACCGUAGAAUUGCCAUUGAUACUGGCAGCCUUGAGUACAGUUGAGGUAGGCGGAAUGCGUGGUGUAGCGGUGAAAUGCUUAGAUAUCACGCAGAACCCCGAUUGCGAAGGCAGCCUACUAAGCUGCCACUGACAUUGAUGCUCGAAAGUGUGGGUAUCAAACAGGAUUAGAUACCCGAGUAGUC